rnacentral:rRNA from 1 species
GGCGGACGGGUGAGGAAUACGAUAGGAAUCUCCCUAGUAGUGGGGGGUAACUUAGGGAAACUUAAGCUAAUACCGCAUACGCCCUACGGGGGAAAGCAGGGGAUCGCAAGACCUUGCGCUAUUAGAUGAGCCUACGUCGGAUUAGCUAGUUGGUAGGGUAAAGGCCUACCAAGGCGGCGAUCCGUAGCUGGUCUGAGAGGACGACCAGCCACACUGGGACUGAGACACGGCCCAGACUCCUACGGGAGGCAGCAGUGGGGAAUAUUGGACAAUGGGCGAAAGCCUGAUCCAGCAAUACCGCGUGCGUGAAGAAGGCCUUAGGGUUGUAAAGCACUUUCAAUGGGGAGGAAAACCUGCCGGCCAAUACCCGGCAGCUUGACAUUACCCAUAGAAGAAGCACCGGCUAACUCCGUGCCAGCAGCCGCGGUAAUACGGAGGGUGCGAGCGUUAAUCGGAAUUACUGGGCGUAAAGCGUGCGUAGGCGGCCCGUUAAGUCAGAUGUGAAAGCCCCGGGCUCAACCUGGGAACGGCAUUUGAAACUGGCGGGCUAGAGUUUGGUAGAGGGGAGUGGAAUUUCAGGUGUAGCGGUGAAAUGCGUAGAUAUCUGAAGGAACACCAGUGGCGAAGGCGACUCCCUGGACCAGAACUGACGCUGAGGUACGAAAGCGUGGGUAGCAAACAGGAUUAGAUACCCUGGUAGUCCACGCCGUAAACGAUGUCGACUAGCCGUUGGCCCUAUAUACAGGGUUAGUGGCGCAGCUAACGCAUUAAGUCCACCGCCUGGGGAGUACGGCCGCAAGGUUAAAACUCAAAUGAAUUGACGGGGGCCCGCACAAGCGGUGGAGCAUGUGGUUUAAUUCGAUGCAACGCGAAGAACCUUACCUAC